UGUGGAGCAAAUCAUCGUGGAGCAAUCAUCAUGCAUGUGUAAAACGUGCAAAACACGCGUAUCAUAAGGGUAAUUAUCGCAUAGAUCAUCAUAUUGGCAAGCAUCGAAUACAGAGAUUCCAUGCAUGCUAUCACACUUCAGGUGUAAUGAUUAUUUUGAUAUCAUAAUAUACGCACUUGUAAUAGACUAAUAGUGCAAGGAAAAUAAUUCUUACAAACGAUAAACAAUGUUUAAAGCAGAUUUAUUCAUCUCAAAUUAUAGUGUGACAAUUUAUAAACAAUAUGUAAGAUAGAAAAUAACAGAACAAGAAAAAGAUAUUUUUAAAUGUUACUGGUAAAAGCACUAAGUUGUCUUCUGACAAAAUGAUAUUCUUCAUGUCUAUUAACGCAAACUCCCGCUUCAUCGUUUCGGUUAAAGUCCCCAGUGCGCAACAGCGUGUGUACAUGGUCGUGAUUGAAUAAGUGGUUCACAUGAGGUCGCAUAAUUUCCAGUCCAUAGUGAGUCGAAGACGUGGCUUUGAAAUAUCUUUUUAAGUUCGCGUCACAUGAAUUCGCCCAAAUUUUUAAGUCAUAACAUCGUGAAUAAAAUAUACCCAUUUAAAGAACGUGGGAAUAAAGUAUGACGAAGUAUGAUAAAAAAAUCUCAAAUAUGUUCUCGCCUUUCAAACUUGUUGAUACAGAAACCAUGUAAACUGGGACGCUCAUUGAUAAAAAAAAACUAGGACGCUCAUUGAUAAAAAAAUGCGUGGUGUUGAGUAACUUACUCUUUUUAUCUGACUUUACAUUGUGAGAAUUCUGUCACCCGUAAUAUGAUAUAGGACAACCUUUAGUCAUUUGACUUUUUUUAUCAUAAUUUUAGGUUGUCAUUAAAUGCAGUGUUGAUAAACUUUGACUUCGGACUUUAAGUUUGAUAACAUUUUGCAGCAUUCACGUAUUUUGCUUGCGCGUAGUUUGCAUAUGCAAAUGCAUGUAGUUUGUAUGUGCAAGCUAAACAAAAGCCGACGAAACGUCUGUGUCAAUGUAAUCUUAUUUUUGUCCUAUUUCUAUCACGGGUAUAACACUUUACGAAUCAUUGACUCAUUACGUAGUUGAAAAAAAUACUUGCGUGACCUUUCUUUACUGUAUGACGACAUAAUAAAUUGAGUUGUGGUGCGAUGGAAAAAUACAAAGAAAAUGUCUCUCCUUAAAUGACUUAUUUGCAACUCUCACAUGAUUCCAUCAUUCUAGAACAAAUGCGUAGGUUCCAGAUCCCUGAAGGUGACCUCUAAAAACAUGUAAGAGGCCAAUUCCUAUAUAAACCCUGGUCUUUAAGAGCAUGUUCAUAUACGUUUCAGUCAUUGCUAUAAGUCUUUGAUACGUAUAAUAACAGAACUAUGGAUAACAAAGUAAUGAAUACUUUUUUAGAGUUAUUUGGCACAUCUUCCAAAUGGAGUCAAACAUCAAACUCUACAUUCGUGGAGUUUGUAAUAAAUGAAAAUAGACAACCAAAGUGUGAACUGCAAAGUUAUAAGAGACAAACGCAAGCCAGACAGCAGGAGCUAUUAGAUGAAGUGAUCAGACUUCGUGAAAUUAACAAGCAGUUGUUGAUGGAGACACGUAAACCCGUUGUCACAGCUAACAGAGCCACUGUCAGCUCACUGACAGGUCAAGAUUAUGCAUCAGCGUCUAUUCUGAGUGAGAACAACGUUACGAACAACGCCGCUAGAAGCUGCACUUCAACCGCCGUCGGCAGUUCGACAAGUCAAGAUUACGCAUCGGUGUCUAUUCUGAGCGAGAACAACGUUAUGAACAACGCCGCUAGAAGCCGCACUUCAACCGCCGUCGACAGUUCGACAGGUCAAUAUUAUGCGUCGGCGUCUAUUCUGAGCGAGAACAACAUUACGAACAAGGCCGCCAGAAGCUGCACUUCAACCGCCGUCGGCAGUCCGCCAGGUCAAGAAUACGCACCGACGCAUAUUAUUAGUAGCGCCACUUUAACCACCGUCGGCAGUCCAGCAGGUCAAGAAUACGCACCGACGCCUAUUGUUAGUAGCGCCACUUUAACCGCCGUCGGCAUUCAGACAGGUCAAGAAUACGUACCGACGCCUAUUGUGAGCACAAACAUUGUUACAAACAAGGCCGUUAGUAGCGCCAAUUUGAUCACUGUCAACAGUUCGACAGAUCAGGAAUACAUACCGAUGUCUAUACCGAGACCGACCAAGAAGGCUUAUAGAGUCAAUUCAACUAUCAUCAACAGUUCAACUGGACUAGAAUACAUACCGACGACUAUUAAUCAGUUUAAAAGACGUCGAUUGGUUAAAUUCAGUCGAUCGGUGUAAGUGGAAGCAGUACCACCACCAUUGACACCCAACCUAGUUUCUUUGCCAAGCCUACCAGUAGUGCUCAGUACAAUACGGGUAAGGGAACUUACAGACAGAAAGUGGUUAAAGUCAAUGUUCCUUCAACAGAAAGGAUCCAUAACUUCUGCAAUGCAUCGACAAUACAAACACCAUGCCUGUACGAUCCAUUAGUGGUUAACAUUUCAUCAAAGGAGGAACAAAUUUAAGGUAGGUUAUACUAGAUCAACUCUCAAUGUUUAAUACGUGUUGAGUGUAAUGUCUCUUUCAACAGUUUUUUUCUGGCUUUUUAUCAGUACUGUCGGAGAGCUGGAAGCACGUGUAAGUUUUAUAUGUUUCUUUCUCAAUAAUUAAUUUUUUUAAUAAUUUUUAUGAUACAUUGUAAAGGUUGUCAUAUUUACACUGUAAAGGUUGUCAUAUCUGAACAGAUUAUUUAUCAUGUCAUGUAUUAAAAAUUAUUUUUCUCUUCAUACUGAAAGUUACGACAGUUUGAACUGAGCAUGUACAGUUUGUCUUUCUUUUAUUCAGAUACAGAUAUUACAAAGAGAAAACGCUGAAAUUCAUGUGCUAAGAGAUAGACUGAAUAAUAAUCAAAGAAUAGUAGAUGGAUUCGCAGAGAUUAAGCAGCAGAUGAAGAAUCUUAUCCAAGGAUGAAUUCCAACAGAUUUCUCGAUUUAUAUAAUUACAGAGGUAACUAUUCAUAAACAUACAUGGAUUUAUAGUGAAACAUACUUGUAUUUAUAGUGAAAAAUACAUGGAUUUAUAGUGAAAACGCAUGGAUUUAGUGAAAAUACAUGGAUUUAGAGUGUAAAUAUUUCAAGUACUUGAAUUUAAGUGAAACACAGCAACUGUGAAUCAGAAGGGAAGACAGACUUAGCUUUACAUUUACAAUAAAAUCUGGAAAGUAGAUCCCUCGGAAGCACCGAGAACAAUGCAAACAGUGAAAAUUGCAGACUCGGUUUGAUUGAGUCUGUUCAUGAGCAACGUGCAACACUGC
rnacentral:misc_RNA from 1 species